UUCCAAAGUAGUCACAGGAUGAAGUGUCACAUGGGAUGUGGUGGUUGGUUUAUCUAUGGGCUGGAUAUAAUGCCUUUGGAACUGCGGAAGCUAGAAUGAGAGUAAUGGAAGGUCCUAGAAACCUUGAUCUAUUUUACACAUCAGAUUUGCAUUUGUCCUUCACCUCCUUCCGAUAUGAACUUCAAGAAAUUCUGUGCCUUCUUAAAUUCAUCCUUAAAGGAUUCAAGUUUUGGUGAUUAAAUUUAAUUUCACAAUGAAGCCUGUGCUUGACUGUGAAGGCUUUUCUGAGCUAAUACAAAUGUGUUGAACAGUCCCUUGGAGGAGAUAGGAGCCAUUGCAAAUCGUACCACUGGAGCUGGCUAGGAAGAAGCAUGAGUAAUUCACACUGCAUGAUCUAUUUUUGUAGAAGUUUUGGUUUUAGCAUGAUUUGGGAAUUAAAAAUGAAAUCAUAGAAUUUACUGCCAGCUUUUACCUGGGAAGUCCUGGUGCAUCCUUUUCCCUGUAGCGCUGCCCCUACUGCUGUCAGGGAAGGGGCAUAAUCACGUGGUGGUGAUGAAGUGUAUGUAGUACCCAGGUAGAAUGACUAACUGCUGAGAAAUGCUUUACUGAUAUAUUUGUUUUCCACUCUGCGUCUUGCCACCUUUUGUUACACAACCUUAUUUUGGCCUUGUCUCUGGUUUUAAUUUGUAGUUAUGUGCCCACAUAAUAAAAAUUCUUGAAAUUGGAAGUCUAUUUAGUCUCCCUGGGGAAAGAAAAAAAGCACUCUGAAAGGAUCUUAACUUGCUAUCCUAUUUGGAGCCUCUUGUGCUGCCAGAAAAAUGUGAAGAGGCUGCAGGCAUCUGGGGCUCAGCUCUCAUCUACAGCACAAUGAAGAGAAGCAAAGAACGAAGUCUUGGCUGCCCAGAAUUUAGCAGAGCCAAAAGGUUAUCAGCUGACAGAGUAGGUGAAUUGUGAUUAUCCAAACUUACAUUACGGAAAGUCUUUAAAAAGCAAUUGAAUGAAUUAUAUUUGAUCUUGGUGAGAAUCUAUGGCUGUUGUGAUGGAUUUUAAUCUGCAUCUGUUCUCUGAGAUGCAAUGUUGCAAGUGAAGAAAUAAUGUGUGUGAAUUGUGUGGGACUCUCCUCUGCUUUGUAUCUCUGUAUUACUGCAUACUUAGAGAACAUAUCCUCUUUUUUUCUUUUAAAAUUCCUUUUCCAUCAUCUUUUCGUCAUCGUCCAUCAUCGUCAUGGGAUGAAUAAAUUGAACUCUGCUGCAGUUUGGAAUCUGCAAGGUAUCAUGAAAGAUUUUUUCAAAGUCUGUCAAAUUGUGAAAUCUGAUUUCAGUGAAAAUAUACCAUUUUCUCCUGCUACUUAAGGUUGGAUAUAGCUUAAAAGUGUUAUAAAACCUACUUGUCUGACUGUUUUCCUACACAAUUAUUCAAUCAGUGCACAAAGCAAGAACAAAGAAUUUUUGGUUAAAUUACUAUUUCAAAUAAUGCAGCCUUAAGCAAGGGGAACAAGAAAUGUUUUUACUGCAUAAAAAAAUCUAUACAAAAACCUUCAGACUCUUUCUCUAACCCUCCUUUGCAGAAUUUAGAGAGACAAGAAUAGGGCUGAGAAGCCUGGGUGGGUCAGCCAGAUCACAUCUUUGAAAGUCAUCCAGCUCAUAACAAAUAAUCAUCUACUGUUUAUUUAAAUAAAUAUGUAACCUUCUGCUAUGAAAUCCCAGUGUGUGUUUAAAAAAAAAAAAAGUGUCAUUUUUUUCUAAGUAAGAGGAAGCAACUUUAAUUGCAUCUCUAUAAUAAAAGGUUGUGCAUUAAA